GGCUGCACCCUCCCCAGCUCCAUCUUCCGUCCUUGUCAGGACAGUCGGCUUUGUCCAGCAGGGAUGUCCUGCUAUAUGAGCGUGAAGUAGUUGAAGUCGGAGCUGCUCUGUUGAGUGGGGGAUAGGAGAAGUAGCUGUUCCAGGGGCUUGGUUUUUGGAUGCCUGUACUAACAGACCCUCCCCCCUGCUUCCUGGACCCACCCCUCUGCCCACAAAGACCCUCAAGACCCUGCUUUCUGCUCUCCACUUUCAGGCAUGUCCUGACCCAUGUCCACUUGCCUGAGUCCUCCGUUGCCAUCCCUGGCCACACUCUGGAAUCUGGAACCUGCAUUGAGAGACCUGUGUUCUAAGCCCUGGCUGUGUGUUCUGAGAUAGGCAGUAAACCUCUCUGGGCCUUGUUUCCUCCCCUGCCAAGGGGAUGAGGAUCCAGGCCUUGCUCACCCCAGAGGGACCAAGAUCGGGUGGCAGAGCUCUGGCAGGGAGGAAGCAUCCACCAUUAUGAAGAUGAAGAGCCUGAGGCUCUGAGAUGUCACAUGACUCACUCAAGGUCAUCCUACUGUGGCAGAGAGAAUGGCAGAAGUGAUGCUAAGUCAGUAAAGACCAUGCAACUUCCAUUUUUCUUGGCUGGAACACUAGCUCCUAGAGCCCUGAGCCACCAUGUAAGAAGUAAGAAGAAUCCCUAGCCUGAGGCCGCCAUG
rnacentral:lncRNA from 1 species